rnacentral:rRNA from 1 species
GACGAACGCUGGCGGCGUGCCUAACACAUGCAAGUGGAGCGACGAACCGGGGCUUGCCCCGGGGCAGAGCCGCGAAAGGGUGAGUAACACGUGGGUGACCCGCCCCGAUGACUGGGACAACCCGUCGAAAGACGGGCUAAUACCGGAUGUGCCCCUUCGGGUAAAGGAAGGUUCGGUCUCAGCAUCGGGAUGGGCCCGCGGCGCAGUGGCUUGUUGGUGGGGUAAUUGGGUACCAAGGCGACGAUGCGUUGCUGGUGUGAGAGGACGAUCAGCCACACUGGGACUGAGACACGGCCCAGACUCCUACGGGAGGCAGCAGUGGGGAAUCUUGCACAAUGGGCGAAAGCGUGAUGCAGCAGCGCCGCGUGCGGGAAGAAGGCCUUAGGGUUGUAAACCGCUUUCAGGGGGGAUGAGGCGUCGAUCGUGAAUAGCGGGUUGGAGUGACGGUACCUUCAGAAGAAGCGCCGGCUAACUACGUG